rnacentral:tRNA from 1 species
AGCGCAGAAAACGGCCACUUUUGUCAGGCUCAUAACCUGAAGGUCGCAGGUUCAAAUCCUGCCCCCGCAACCA